rnacentral:lncRNA from 1 species
GGAGUGUUGCCCCAAGCACAGGUGCCCUGGGCCAGCCAGUCAAGAAUCCCCAGUGCUCUCCAGGCAGGCCCAGAUUCCUCUGUACUCUUGGACAAUGACAGUAUUAUCCUGUGCGGAGUCCCCCUGCCCCCCAGGGAGUGCAGAUGUGUUUGUUCAGACAUGCACACCAGCUAAUCCCAGGACACAAAACCUGUAAAACCCAUGCACUCCUGUGGGAUUGCCCCUGAGCUCCACAGUCUCUCCCCAGCCCUGCUUUUGAGAGCCACUUUGCCCUGGUCCCAGGUUUCAGGGGCCCAGACAGUUCUGGCUUGGACAGUCUCUGUGGCUGAGGAAGUAUUUGGGGCCCUCACAAGCUUGCCCUCUGGAGCUUGGAUGCCUGGAUCCCUCCUGCCUCCCCCGUCACCAACUGUGCUCCCAAGCCCUUCCCAAGCACUCACUUCCCGGUGGUGUUGGUGCUGUCCUGAUAUCCUGACCCCCGAGGCUCCAGCCUCAUCCCUCACCAGAACACUUCUCCCUCCAAAAGCUGGCGUGUGAGACCCCGGCUAUCCGCCACCAAGAGGAGUUGCGGUCUUUAGGGGCGUUGUCCCCACCUCUGCACCCCAGAGUUCUUCCCAUUCACCUUUUUUCCUGCUUGCAGCCAUGCACCUAGAUGGGCAUAGGGUUGGGGUGAGUUUGUGGGAGAGUGAGGGGGAGGCCAGGGGCAAGGAAGGUAAAUGUGGUGGCCCCACAGGAAUUGUGAGAGAUGAGAUGCAGCCCCCCAAGGCCUUUCCAGUCUCACUGUACCCCCAAGGCAGUCUAGUGGCCUCGCCAAAACCUGAGCUUCUCCAAUUCCACUUUUAAAACCAGAGUUAGGGGCUGUGUGUGGCACGCUGGGUUCUGAGGGCAUCCCUCCCGCCCCCCCAGGCCAGCCCCCAGUGGUGCCAGCAGCACCUGCCCCUCACCUCCACCUCUUGGUCUCGUCUGAAGCCUCAGUCUGUGUGUCUGUCCCAGGGACAAUCUGGUCUCCUCCUGUGUGCUGUGGCUGGCAUGGCCUCAGUGUCUGAGGGCUUGUCCUGGGAGGGGUAUCAAGAAUCCAAUUCUCACCUGGUUGUAGGACCUCUUGGGGGAUGCUAGGAGGGCGCCCUGGCACAGCCAGGGAUUGCCUAGGGCUGAGGGGCCCAGGAGAAGCUACUUCUCUCCCAGAAAGGGGCUCCCUCCUGCAUCUGCAGUCGGAUGCCCAGACCGCCCACUCUGGACAGCCCACAAUGCCUCCUCCGUCCUGCCAUGCCCAUUCGCAUGUGUCUUGUCCAUCUCCGCUCCUGUGAUGUGGGUCAGUCCUUUGUGGUGCCGCGUCCAGGGCUGCAGGGUCCCACGUCAGUGAGCAGUGGGUGGCCGGUGGAGGGGGUGGUGGUGGCCGGGCUCCCUUCCUGCCCAUGGCACCUAGAACAGCAGUGAGGUCUCAGAGAAGCCCCCGCCUGGGCUCCCUGGGAGCUAACCUUGCAGCCUCUGGGUUAUCUUUGGCAAAGGGGUCUAAAGUCCCCUAUCCCCAGCCCCUCUACUUCCCCUGCUGGGCAGCAGUGGCUGCCCAGUGAGUGGUGCUAUCCAUGGAGGGGGGAGGGAGCUGGGCAGCGCUGACUAGGCGGCGGGUGGGGCUAAGAGAGUUUCUGCAGGGACCCAGCUGCAGGGUCAGCAGCCUGUGGGCCCUGAGUGGGGUCUUUGUUGUCCUCAGGUGGGCUGUGGGGGAAGUAGCGGAGAAAUGAAGUGACGCCAGGGGCCAGGCAUGGGUGUUCUUUUCCGUGUUGUUCACAUUUUCUCUCUUUCUCUCUCUCUCCACUAAUCAUGUUUCUCUCUCUCUCCUCGUUUUGUUGCAUGACUUGUGCCGGUUCUCGUGAUUGUUCCCUGCUCGUGUCUCACAGACUGUCCCCAUUUAGCCUGAGACUUUUUUCCUGAGUCCCCAGCUGGGCAGAUCCCUCAGGGCUAAACCCAAGGAAAUGCCCAGCAACCCCCAACCCACCCCAGCCCCGCGUGCGCCCCUCCGGUGCCCGCAGCUGGUGUGAACAGUAAGUACUUUGGCGGUGCCUGGAGACCAGGGCAGAAAAGCCAGCUGUGCUGACUGAGGGCCCAGCCUCGGGUUCUCCUUGCUCCAAAGUUUAAAAAAAAAUGACCCUCUCGCAGAUGCUCAUCUCAGCCCAUUUCAAGCCUGGAAACCAUCUCUGAGACGCUGCCCAUGCUGCCAUUUCAUCACUGCAGGCCUGUGGGUCUAGUGGGGGCCUGGGGGCCCUGGGCUGGGGGAGGCAGGGCCCCCAGCCUCUGGAAAGCAGGUGGGAAUGGAGGCUCCUAGCCACUAUCUCAUCCAAAGGAUGGGGCAGGGGCGGGGGCUCACACCUUUGACCCUAUUCAUGGGUUCCCCAGAUUUAUACAGUUGGCCCCUCGUUGGUUUCUCUUUCUUCAAGCCACCCCUCUGGAGUUGGGGAGGGAGAAUGCCCCAGUUUCUGAAAGCAUCUUAAACCAUAGAUAGACGAACAGCCCAGGGGCCUGGGCCCCUUCACAGAGCAAGACUUAAGCUUCCCCACCCAAUCAUUAGUCCCUCCUCAAAGGUUAGGGUUGAGAGAAGCAGUAGGCCCUAGGGGUGUCCCGGGAAUCCCCCAGGAGGGAAAGGUGCCAGGCUAUCAUCCCUCCAGGGAUCCCUGAUGGAUGUUCCUUGUCCCCUGCCCAAAACCAUCCCGAACUUUGGGCCCUUUAGUGAUUGUGAGAGCUGGGAGCCCCCAGGGCCUGGGGGCUUGUGGACAGAACCAGUGGGCGGGGGCCCAGCAUUCAGAGCCAGAGAAGGGUCUCAGGCGGCACCAUCUCCACAGAGGCAGAGGCAGAGAGAAGGCACCCCCCUCUGACCCACCCCUCCCCAGGCAAGAACUGCAGGCUGUGGACACCUCCCCUGGCAGAGGAUGGCCAACAGAGACUCAGCAAGUCCUCACUCCCCUCCCAGAAGGAGACGCUGCCUGGGAGGACCCACUGUUCUCCCCUUGAGGAAAAUCCAUGCAGGGUGCUAUGGGCCUCAACCCCCACAUCGUCAUCCGCGUCCUCUCCAUACUGUUUCCCUCCCCUCUCCCAACACCCUCCUCCCUCAGCCCGGAGACCCUUGGAUGGAAGACUGGGCCAGCCAGAGUGGGAGGCAGGACCAGCGUGUCUGCGAGCACACGUGUGUGCCUGCAGACAUGCCCCAAGACCCCAGAGACGCCCCGGCCCCAGUCACAUGGUGUCAGAGUUACCUUGGCAACUGGCCUUUUUGGUUCAGAGUAAAUUGGGAAGUGAAGCCCCUGGGAUUUGUCGAGAAACGCACUGUACGUGAAAUGCUUUGCCAUCUUGUACGAAAGACUUUUUUUUUAAGUUCCAAAAUUAUGAUGGGAUUUUUUUGGAUUUGCUUUACGAAUAAAUCUGAUUGGUCCAUUUC